GGCAUCCUGAAAGAGGACAUGAAGCACCCAGCUGUGUUCAUACUUCCAGGAAUGGCUCUGUUGAUACUCAGGAUUCCUUAAUUAUGUGUAACUCCAAGCUUCUCAUCUUCUGGUUUUAUACUGCUCUGCAGUAUCCUUACUGCAGUUUCAUACAAUUCAGGCUGUGCACUCUGUGUUCUGCUCAGAGGACACACUGGAGGAGAAACAGUGCUGCUGUGCUGUGGGUGGCCUUAUUUCACAUGUAGCCUAUGAUACCUUCAGAGCCUUCUCCUGGAUGAAGGGAUUGGAAAGCUGCUGCUGUUAAGAUGAGUGGCAUAUACAUUUGUAUGCAGUUUGAUUUGCUGGCCUGAUCAUCAGUGAGGUUCCUUGGAUGAUCUUUUCCCUGUGUUUCUGCAUCAGGCACUUGGGCUGAUGUAGCACAUCUCUGACUGCUUUAAACAUACAACA